GGAAGCGAGUGGAAGUCCUUCGGGACGGAUACUCGUGGAACGAGCGGCGGACGGGUGAGUAACACGUGGGCAACCUACCUGUAAGACCGGAAUAACCCCGGGAAACCGGGGCUAAUGCCGGGUAACCAUUCGGUUCUCCUGAACCGAAUGUAAAAGGAUGGCUUCUUGCUAUCGCUUACAGAUGGGCCCGCGGCGCAUUAGCUAGUUGGUAAGGUAACGGCUUACCAAGGCGACGAUGCGUAGCCGACCUGAGAGGGUGAUCGGCCACACUGGGACUGAGACACGGCCCAGACUCCUACGGGAGGCAGCAGUAGGGAAUCUUCCGCAAUGGACGAAAGUCUGACGGAGCAACGCCGCGUGAACGAUGAAGGUCUUCGGAUCGUAAAGUUCUGUUGUGAGGGAAGAACAAGGAUCGUGCGAACAGAACGGUCCCUUGACGGUACCUCACGAGGAAGCCCCGGCUAACUACGUGCCAGCAGCCGCGGUAAUACGUAGGGGGCAAGCGUUGUCCGGAAUUAUUGGGCGUAAAGCGCACGCAGGCGGUUCCUUAAGUCUGAUGUGAAAGCCCGUGGCUCAACCACGGAGGGCCAUUGGAAACUGGGGAACUUGAGAACUGAAGAGGAGAGUGGAAUUCCACGUGUAGCGGUGAAAUGCGUAGAUAUGUGGAGGAACACCAGUGGCGAAGGCGACUCUCUGGUCG
rnacentral:rRNA from 1 species